rnacentral:rRNA from 1 species
GACGAACGCUGGCGGCGUGCCUAACACAUGCAAGUGGAGCGACGAACCGGGCUUCGGCCCGGGGCAAAGCCGCGAACGGGUGAGUAACACGUGGGUAACCUGCCCUGAUGAUUGGGACAACCCGAGGAAACUCGGGCUAAUACCAGAUGUGCCCUCCGACCAUAAGGUUGAUGGGGAAAGGAAGCUUCGGCCACCGCAUC